UGAGGCUGAAGAUGAGCAGGAUGAGGCUCGGAUGAGGAGGACGAGGCUGAAGAUAAGGAGGAUGAAGAUGAGGAUGCAGAUGUAGACAAAGAUGAAGGAGGGCAGGGGAAGUGGGUAGGGCAGCUCUCCCGGCCGCUCUCAUUCAAAGGGCCAUGGUGGGACUCACUGAGCCACUGUCCCAGGAGCUGAGCCUCAGUAGAGUUAGAUAAGCCAUCUAAGCAGUUUGCUCUGGCCUGGGCCUCUGGCCACUUUCCUCAAACACCCAAGGCCCAAAGAAGGCCCCUCAGCCAGCCAAGCAUGCUAGGAGAGUUAUCUGCACGUGAGUGGGGUCAGGGGUAGGGCUCCUGGGGACCUGCCUGUGACCCUUGACACCUGGCUGGAGCUCUUGGGGGCAGGAAGGGGUGCCAGGAAUAUGAAGUUGUGGGAUGGAUGACGGAUUUCUCACCCUUACUCCAUCACAUGAUUUUGUGCCAUUGUUGAUGUUCUCACCCUGGCUUUCCACAAAGGACUAUUCAGGGGUCAAAUGAGAAACUGUGGCUGGAUGUGCCUGCACAGGACAAAGCAUUGCAUGGAGUGAGAGAUCAUCAUUAGCGGGUUUCCUGGUGUCUUCCUGGAUGUCUGAUCUAAAUUUAGGUCCUUGUAGUCACAGUUGAAUCCCAGCCACUGCCUUUCCUUCCUUCCUGCAGGCUCUCUGUAGCACAGCCACGGGAAGUCACUGCUGGAAGGGGUCUGCCUUUGUUGUUUCACCUGCAAGUUUGCAUGCAUGCUUCUGGGCAAAGUCCCUCCAAACCUUCCCUGUGCCUUCUCCAACUCCAGGCCUGCAGGCUUCCUCCUGCUGAGACACUUGCUGGGCUCGCUGCUCCUCUCCUGGUAUCCCAGACUGUCCCACCCUGCCCCAGGGGUUCCCCUGUCCUAACCACCUACCCCCCUCGCUCAGUCACCCCCUGAGAGAGCACAUUCUUCCACAUCAGGACACCUCAGGCAAGUCCUUACCCUCUCUAGGUCCCACGUAUACUCUAAGGAUGAUGCCAGCCCACCAACCCUCAAAGGGCCUCUAACAGAGCCUAUGAGUCUUUCUGGAAGUAACAGAAACUUCAGCUAACAGGGACUUAAACAAUAUAAAAGUGGUUGCCUACUAAGAAGUCUAGAGGCAGGCUAGUCCCAGCUACUCAGGAGGCUGAGGCAGGAGAAUGGCAUGAACUCGGGAGGCGGAGCUUGCAGUGAGCAGAGAUCGCGCCACUGCAUUCCAACCUGGGCUACAGAGCAAGACUCAGUCUCAAAAAAAAAAAAAAAAGUCUAGAGGCAGGCAAUUCUCAAGUUGGCUUUGCAACUCCAAGAU
rnacentral:lncRNA from 10 species